UUGGGGUCAGAGUUCAGGGUCAGACAUGAUACAGCGCCCCCUGGAGCAGAGAGGGUUAAGGGCCUUGCUCAAGGGCCCAACAGUGGCAGCUUGGCAGUGCUGGAGCUUGAACCACCGACCUUCUGAUCAGUCACCCAGAGCCUUAACCGCUAAACCACCACUUCCCCCAGUUACACUGGAGACUCCUUCCAAAACAUUUCAGGUGGUUAAACUUAUAAACUAAAGUUCACCUGCUGCCCUUCAAAACAUACGAAAACUGCUGCUUGCAUACGUAUUCAAACCGCCUCGGUCCUGGAAGCUCCACGGGAAAGAUACGACUGAUUUUACACCGGACUUUCAAAUAUCAAAACAUCUCCUAUUUUCUCAUUGUCAUUAAAGAGGCUGUCAGUCUGAAGGAAAUGAGUGAGAAUGAAGACUAAGGAGAUGAAGAUAAGGGAAUAGAAUCUCAUAACUGAGGAAUCUGGUAUCAGAUGGUUAUUAUCUGAGAGGUUAGGUGUCACGGUAAGCACUGCCGGAUGAACAGUGAGAAAGCUGAAGCACUGUCUAGACAAGACCCUCCCUGAAAACCCAGCACAAAAACAAGCCCGAGACAGGUGAGGGAAGCCACAGUGAGGCCAACAGACAAUCUGAAGGAGUUACAGAGUGAAGGUGCAGUAUACAACCAUUUCAAGAGCUCUGCAGAACUGAGGAAUGUAUGCGGCGUGGCUUAAAAGAAACCAUUGCUCGAGAAGAGCCAUAUGAAAGAAGAAGAAUUACCCAGUGAAGAUGUGGUCAUACGUUAACGAACACCAUCCCUACAGUAGUGAAACAUGGUGGUGGCAGCAUCAUUCUCUGGGGAUUCUCUUCUUUUCAUCCUCACAACCUGGGCUAAAUAGAUGGAGCACGAUGCAGGAGGAUAUGACAAAGAAAACAUGCUUUAGUUUGUUAAAAGAAAAAUAAUAAACCUAAAGCGUGGGAGAAACGUGAGAGAAACCCAAACACAAGGCCAAAGCAAUGCAGGACCAGUUAAAACUAACAAAGUCCAGACCUGAACCCCAGUGAGAAUCUGUAGCACUAGACAACAAACAAACAACAUUCAACCCACCAGAAGAACCAGGAGCAAAUCUGCCAGGAAGAAUGUGUGAGCAUCAUUCCCAAACAGUGCGCAAAGCGGGUAGGAACGUCACUGACCUCAACACACAACACGCUUAAUGCUGUUACUGCAGCAGAAGGUGGUUCUACCAACUACGAGUCUGAUGGGCGUGAAUGCUAACGCAAGCACUAUUUUACAGUUUGAAUUAUUUUUUAAACAUCUGCUGACAUAUAAUGCAUUCUGACUUUGAAAACUGACUCUGAGAGCAAAUCGGUCUGCAAUAAUAAUAAUUUUAAAAAAUGUCUGGAACAACCUGUGUACUGUAAGUGUCGUUUAUAAUCCAGACGAAUCAGGACUUUUGGGAGUUGAACAAUUCUGCAAGGUACUCUAUUUAUAUUUCUUUUUUUUUGUGUGUGUUUUUUUUUUUGCUAUAUUUCUCCUUCCUGUUUCCUUUAAUGAAACGCUCUAAGGAAACAGAUGAUGGUGUUUCGCAGUAAAAAUCCAUCUGGCAGUUCACUGUCACCUGUACACUGUCUGUGUGACGGCUUGCAGAAUAAACAGUGUGGAGUAUAAAAUAAAACAUGCAUGAAGCCG